rnacentral:rRNA from 1 species
UUCCGGUUGAUCCUGCCGGACCUGACUGCUAUCGGAUUGAUACUAAGCCAUGCGAGUCUUUGUAGUAAUACAAGGCAGACGGCUCAGUAACACGUAGUCAACCUACCCUAUGGACAAGAAUAAUCUCGGGAAACUGGGCAUAAUUCUUGAUAGAUCAUAAUGCCUGGAAUGGUUUAUGGUUAAAAUGAUUCGUCGCCAUAGGAUGGGACUGCGGCCUAUCAGCUUGUUGGUGAGGUAAUGGCCCACCAAGGCGAUUACAGGUACGGGCUCUGAGAGGAGAGGCCCGGAGAUGGGUACUGAGACAAGGACCCAGGCCCUAUGGGGCGCAGCAGGCGAGAAAACUUUGCAAUGUGCGAAAGCACGACAAGGUUAGUCCGAGUGAUUUCUGCUAAAGAAAUCUUUUGCAAGUCAUAAAACCACUAGUGAAUAAGGGGUGGGCAAGUUCUGGUGUCAGCCGCCGCGGUAAAACCAGCACCUCAAGUGGUCAGGAGGAUUAUUGGGCCUAAAGCAUCCGUAGCCUGUUCUAUAAGUUUGCGGUUAAAUCUAUACGCUCAACGUAUAGGCUGCCGUAAAUACUGUAGAACUAGGGAGUGGGAGAGGUAGACGGUACUCGAUAGGAAGGGGUAAAAUCCUUUGAUCUAUUGAUGACCACCUGUGGCGAAGGCGGUCUACCAGAACACGUUCGACGGUGAGGGAUGAAGGCUGGGGGAGCAAACCGGAUUAGAUACCCGGGUAGUCCCAGCUGUAAACGAUGCAGACUCGAUGAUGCAAUGGCAUAGAGCUAUUGCAGUAUCGCAGGGAAGCCGUUAAGUUUGCCGCCUGGGAAGUACGUACGCAAGUAUGAAACUUAAAGGAAUUGGCGGGGGAGCACCACAAGGGGUGAAGCCUGCGGUUCAAUUGGACUCAACGCCGGG